rnacentral:rRNA from 1 species
AUGUGGCUGGACAGGGAGGCCGGCAGCAAGUGCUACGUGCUGUCCGCCUGGGACCUGGAGGCCAUCUGGUCGGGGGACUCCGAUUACCCGAGACGGGUCCCAUGCGAGGACUCUAGGUUCUCCGAUGGUACUCAACUCCUGGAUGUUUGCUAUUUAUAUAUCCGCGGGAAGAUACAUAGCAAGAUGCUCUCCCAAGGCACAACCUAUGCUGCCUACAUGGUGUUCAAGAUGACCGAUAAUUACUAUGGAAUUUAUUUUCCUGUCCAGGACGCAACCAACUUACCCCCCAAGGUUUGCCUCCAAGGCAACGAGGACGAGGGUGGGGUGGCUGACAACUACCGGCCCAUCCCGCUAAUAACCCAGAUAAGGAACCGC